CCCUUAGAUGUCCUGGGCCGCACGCGCGCUACACUGAUGCAUGCAACGAGUUUAUAACCUUGGCCUGAAAGGUCUGGGUAAUCUUUUGAACGUGCAUCGUGAUAGGGAUAGAUUAUUGCAAUUGUUAAUCUUGAACGAGGAAUUCCUAGUAAACGCGAGUCAUCAGCUCGCAUUGAUUACGUCCCUGUCCUUUGUACACACCGCCCGUCGCACCUACCGAUUGAAUGGUUCGGUGAAGAUCUCGGACUUCGAUAUUUAUUCUUUAUUGAGUUUAUAUUGUGGGAAGUUAUCUAAACCUCAUCAUUUAGAGGAAGGUGAAGUCGUAACA
rnacentral:rRNA from 1 species